rnacentral:rRNA from 1 species
GACGAACGCUGGAGGCGUGCUUAACACAUGCAAGUCGAACGAUGAAAUGGAGCUUGCUCCAUGGAUUAGUGGCGAACGGGUGAGUAACACGUGAAUAACCUGCCCUUAAUUUUGGAAUAACCCAGGGAAACCUGGGCUAAUACCGGAUAAGUAAACCUGUGGCAUCACAUGGUUUUGGAAAGUUUUUCGAUUAAGGAUGGAUUCGCGGCCUAUCAGCUUGUUGGUGAGGUAAUGGCUCACCAAGGCGACGACGGGUAGCCGGCCUGAGAGGGUGAACGGCCACACUGGGACUGAGACACGGCCCAGACUCCUACGGGAGGCAGCAGUGGGGAAUAUUGCGCAAUGGACGAAAGUCUGACGCAGCGACGCCUCGUGAGGGACGAAGGUCUUCGGAUUGUAAACCUCUUUCAACAGGGACGGAGCGAAAGUGACGGUACCUGCAGAAGAAGCACCGGCUAACUAUGUGCCAGCCGCCGCCGUAA